rnacentral:lncRNA from 1 species
GCGGCAUGGCUUAUAGGAUUGGGGACUAGAACUUAGGAUGGUUGGGAGGACGAGCGGGGAGAUAACAGAUUGACAAAAGACAUUGCCACUAUUUGGUACAAUUUUCUUUUUCCUUCAAAUACAUGACCUUUAUUUACAGUUCUUGACUGGGAUUCUCUAGUUGUUGUUUUAGGCCCUGCUCGAUAUCUGCAUUAUCUUAAGUCAUUCCUCAAAAAGAAAAA